GAACGCACAUUGCGCCCGCCAGUAUUCUGGCGGGCAUGCCUGUUCGAGCGUCAUUUCAACCAUCAAGCCCCCGGGCUUGUGUUGGGGACCUGCGGCUGCCGCAGGCCCCGAAAACCAGUGGCGGGCUCGCUGUCACCCCGAGCGUAGUAGUUUACACCUCGCCCAGGGCGCGACGCGGGUUUCCCGGCCGUUAAACACCCCCCAUCUAAAGGUUGACCUCGGAUCAGGUAGGAAGACCCGCUGAACUUAAG
rnacentral:misc_RNA from 1 species